UACGUAGGGGGCAAGCGUUGUCCGGAUUUAUUGGGCGUAAAGAGCGUGUAGGCGGCCAGGCAGGUCCGCUGUGAAAACUCGAGGCUCAACCUCGAGAGGUCGUUGGAAACCGUCUGGCUAGAGUCCGGAAGAGGAGAGUGGAAUUCCCGGUGUAGCGGUGAAAUGCGCAGAUAUCAGGAGGAACACCGGUGGCGAAGGCGGGACUCUGGGCCGAUACUGACGCUGAGGAGCGAAAGCGUGGGGAGCAAACAGG
rnacentral:rRNA from 1 species